rnacentral:rRNA from 1 species
CCUACGGGAGGCAGCAGUGAGGAAUAUUGGACAAUGGGCGUAAGCCUGAACCAGCGAAGUCGCGUGAGGGAUGAAGGUUCUAUGGAUCGUAAACCUCUUUUAUAAGGGAAUAAAGUGUGGGACGUGUCCUAUUUUGGAUGUACCUUAUGAAUAAGGAUCGGCUAACUCCGUGCCAGCAGCCGCGGUAAUCCGGAGGAUCCGAGCGUUAUCCGGAUUUAUUGGGUUUAAAGGGUGCGUAGGCGGCCUUGUAAGUCAGCGGUAAAAGUCUGUGGCUCAACCAUAGAAUUGCCGUUGAAACUGGGGGGCUGGAGUAUGUUUGAGGCAGGCGGAAUGCGUGGUGUAGCGGUGAAAUGCUUAGAUAUCACGCAGAACCCCGAUUGCGAAGGCAGCCUGCCAAGCCAUGACUGACGCUGAUGCACGAAAGCGUGGGGAUCAAACAGGAUUAGAUACCCUAGUAGUC